rnacentral:rRNA from 1 species
UACGAAGGGGGCUAGCGUUGCUCGGAAUCACUGGGCGUAAAGGGUGCGUAGGCGGGUUUUUAAGUCAGGGGUGAAAUCCUGGAGCUCAACUCCAGAACUGCCUUUGAUACUGAAGAUCUUGAGUCCGGGAGAGGUGAGUGGAACUGCGAGUGUAGAGGUGAAAUUCGUAGAUAUUCGCAAGAACACCAGUGGCGAAGGCGGCUCACUGGCCCGGUACUGACGGCUGAGGCACGAAAGCGUGGGGAGCAAACAGG